GUCCUAGGUAACUGGAUUAUCUUGUUACAGAAUCAAGCAGCCACAGCAAACAGUUAUACCCAUGUCAUUUUAGGAUUUUAUGAAGAGAAAGGUGGAUUACUGACAGUUCAAAGCUGAUACCAAUAAGAGUCAAGUUAUGGUGGGAGAAAUCUUAUUUUUGAGUACGUCCAAUAAAACCCACAUCCACGCUGGUGCCAAGACCACUCCAGUGCUCAAUUGGUUGCAGUGGAGCCAAGAAAAGCGUGGAGGAAGGGGCAAGGCUGGAGCAUUUGUGACCCGCAGCUCAGCGAGGGGCUCAAGUCUCUCAAGGACUCAAAUAACUGUCAGAUAUCAAAAUACUUUUGCAGGGAAUUGAUGACCGAGGCUUGUUUUGUUUUUAAUAUUUAUGAAUAAAGAAAAAAAUGGGCUCCAGGGGAUAAUCCCAGAGCUGCUGUUGACCUGUUUUUAGCCACUUUUGCUGUAGAUUUAAGGUUGGAUUCAUCAAUAUAUCCAGGGGGAGGUAUUUUGAAUUCUGUCAUAAAUUCUGAGUAAUUCUUUAAAAAGCGGAGGGAAAAAAAAACAAGACAUCUGUAACAUCUCAGAAACAUAUGCAUGCACACACAAACACACACGUAUACACAAAAGCUCCAUAGCAGGUCUUUACUUAAUGAGCUCAAAAUGGAGCUCUUCCCUACUGUGCUGAAUAGGGGUGAGCGAUGGACGUAUUAGCAGGGGGAUGAGGAAGGAGGGGAACAAGAUGAGAGGGAAAAAAAUACAUUACUAACUUUGAAAGCGAGAAUGUGAGGCUGGAAUGUUUUAUCAUUAUGCUCGUUGGCCUUCUGCUGUGCUAUGUUUUUUUCUUCUUGAAUUUAACUUGUCUGUAAACCAUGCCCUUCACAAACUAGCAGAUUCACGUAAAUUUUGUUGUGAAUUCACCACAGUCAAAUGGAAGCUAUGCUCACUCCAAAUCUUCAUUGUGACUUUGUAAAAAGAUUCAACUUCAAGCCUGCAAGGAAAUUAUUUGUUUUAUAAGAUGGCUCCCCUCCUUUUAUGUGUUGUGCGUAAAGAUAGGAAUAAAAUUUAC